AUUGAACGCUGGCGGCAGGCCUAACACAUGCAAGUCGAACGUGUCGCACACGGGUGAGUAAUGUCUGGGAAAUUGCCCGAUGGAGGGGGAUAACUACUGGAAACGGUGGCUAAUCCCGCAUACCAUCGGAUUUGCCCAGAUGGGCUUAGCUUGUGGGUGGGGUAACGGCUCACCUAGGCGACGAUCCCGAGCUGGUCUGCGAGGAUGAGCGGCCACACUGGAACUGAGACACGGUCCAGACUCCUACGGGGGGCAGCAGUGGGGAAUAUUGCACAAGGGGCGAAAGCCUGAUGAAGCCAUGCCGCGUGUAUGAAGAGGGCCUUCGGGUGGUAAAGUACGUUCAGCGAGGAGGCGUUACUCGCAGAAGAAGCACCGGCUAACUCCGUGCCAGCAGCCGCGGUAAUAC
rnacentral:rRNA from 1 species